GCGAUCCAACCAGUGGGCGAGAGUAGCUCCCCGUCGCGUCUUUCCAGCGCUCUGAGCCCUCGGGAGGUAUUUCUGCCCACUGAACGAUGUGAGGUCUCGGCAGUUACCCGCUUUCCCCAGGCAGUUUCCGACAGACGUUAAAGGAACUUAAAGCCGAGGAGUCUAAACAGGAGACCAGAAAGAGCAUCAUUCAUUCAUACAACAGAUGCUCUGGCCCCAAUUUCUGAUAAAAUCCUGUUCAUCCUUCAAGACCUCCUCACAUGUGACCACCUCUGUGAAGCUUCUCUGACCUGCAGACUUGGUUUUAUUUAUUUAUUUGUCCGAGGAGAGAGAGAGAGCGAGCUCACAAGCAGGAGGAGCA